GGCCUCGUAGCUCAGUUGGCUACCUAAAGCCUUCCCUUUACUGGCGUGGGUUCGAAUCCCACCCAGGCUG
rnacentral:tRNA from 1 species